UGAGGAAUCUUGGACAAUGGGCGAAAGCCUGAUCCAGCCAUGCCGCGUGAAUGAUGAAGGCCUUAGGGUUGUAAAAUUCUUUCAGCAGGGAAGAUAAUGACGGUACCUGCAGAAGAAGCCCCGGCUAACUCCGUGCCAGCAGCCGCGGUAAUACGGAGGGGGCUAGCGUUGUUCGGAAUUACUGGGCGUAAAGCGCUCGUAGGCGGAUUGGUCAGUCAGGGGUGAAAGCCCGGAGCUCAACUCCGGAACUGCCUUUGAUACUGCCAGUCUUGAGUUCGGGAGAGGUGAGCGGAAUACCGAGUGUACAGGUGAAAUUCGUAGAUAUUCGGCGGAACACCUUAGGCCAACGCGGC
rnacentral:rRNA from 1 species